rnacentral:snRNA from 1 species
AUCGCUUCUCGGCCUUUUGGCUAAGAUCAAGUGUAGUAUCUGUUCUUAUCAGUUUAAUAUCUGAUAUGUCCUCGAUAAGAGGACUUUAUAUUAAACGGAUUUUUGGAUCGAGGAGUUGGAUCUGGAGCUUGCUCCGUUCGCUCCGCGCAUCGUCCCGGUAUUGCAGUACUUUCGGGAAUGGUGCCACCCCC